UACCAACACUCUGGAGAGUCCCUGAUGAAGGGCGCCGAAGGUGUACGGCAGGAAGCCUGCCAAUCUCUCAGGCAAAAGGACAGAGCAUUCUAU
rfam:Firmicutes bacterium CAG:95 genomic scaffold, scf317